CCUGCGCCUCGAUCAUCGAUAUCAGCGUGCCUUGUGGCGCCCUCUACGUUUCCGGUAGUCGCGGAUCUGUUGCAACCGAGAUCAGAGAAUUGGUUUCCUCUCUUGUGUAACGAUGUCUCGCUACCAAAGCAGCAGCCGUUCCUCCAGCCAGGAAUGCAAGGUGUACGUGGGCGGGCUAGGAUCGUCGUUCGACAAGCAUGACAUCGAAGAGUCUUUCCGAUCGUUUGGAGUGAUGAGAAAUGUGUGGGUGGCCAGGAACCCACCUGGCUUUGCCUUUGUGGAGUUCGAAGACCCACUCGAUGCCCAGGAUGCCGUGAAGGGGCAUAGAAAGCGAAUUUGUGGCCGUGAGGUGACUGUGGAGAUGUCCAGGGGCGAACCGAAGAGUCGGCGUUUUGGUGGCCCGGGGGGCGGCAGACCUCCGCCCCGUCGUGCCAGCCGAAACGACAAGUGCUAUGCCUGCGGCGACUAUGGCCACUUUGCCCGAGAGUGCCCCAGUGGGGGCAGCCGAGGGGGUGGCAGUGAUCGACGGUACAGCGGGGGAGGCUACGGGGGGCGGAGCCGGGACUAUCGGCGCUCCAGGGCUUCCUAUAGUCAGUGUCAUGUGACUCUGAGCUAAACAGGUUUCCCGCUUCUCAAAUUACUGCCUGAAUAUCUUCUUCCCCUGGCGAGUUUUCGGCGCCCACAAUUGCACAUGCUCACGCCCGCACACGCCCGAAACCAUCCCCCCUCGCCUUGCGUCGAUAAAGAGAAAGCUAUCGCCGGCCUCGGGGGUGGGGAUUUUUUUAAGGAUGUGAAGAGCCGAAGACGUGAAGCACAGUUAGGAUUCACGCCGCUACGCAUCAGAGAUGUGUUUUCAGACCGACACCGCCGCUUUUCAAAUUUGCCCUCGGCAAAGCCGUCUCCACCGUUUGCCUCAAAGAUAGAGAGCGUCCAUUUAGAGAGAGUCUUGCGUCGCUUCUCUCCAUGAGAGCAAGCCGGCAAUCCCACUUGCCCACUCCUAAAAAAGAGAGAAAUAUGCUCACAUUUCGUCCAAGUGGCUAAGUCCCGCUCUAGAAGUCGUAGCCGCAGCUACUCGCCGCGCCGACGUGACAGCGGCAGCAAGUCUCGUAGUCGCAGCAGAAG
rnacentral:misc_RNA from 1 species